GAUGAACGCUGGCGGCGUGCCUAAUACAUGCAAGUCGAGCGAAUGGAUUAAGAGCUUGCUCUUAUGAAGUUAGCGGCGGACGGGUGAGUAACACGUGGGUAACCUGCCCAUAAGACUGGGAUAACUCCGGGAAACCGGGGCUAAUACCGGAUAACAUUUUGAACCGCAUGGUUCGAAAUUGAAAGGCGGCGUCGGCUGUCACUUAUGGAUGGACCCGCGUCGCAUUAGCUAGUUGGUGAGGUAACGGCUCACCAAGGCAACGAUGCGUAGCCGACCGGAGAGGGGGAUCGGCCACACUGGGACUGAGACACGGACCAGACUCCUACGGGAGGCAGCAGUAGGGAAGCUUCCGCAAUGGACGAAAGUCUGACGGAGCAACGCCGCGUGAGUGAUGAAGGCUUUCGGGUCGUAAAACUCUGUUGUUAGGGAAGAACAAGUGCUAGUUGAAUAAGCUGGCACCUUGACGGUACCUAACCAGAAAGCCACGGCUAGCUACGUGCCAGCCGCCGCCGUAA
rnacentral:rRNA from 1 species